GCAGACGCCGGAACCACUGAGCUAAAUCCCCAGCCCGAGCUGUUUUCUUUUAAAGUGGACAGGUAGUGGGCAAGGAAACCGGUGGUCACAUGCUGGUGGCGUGGACUUGUGCUGAAAAGAAGGUAUACCCUGAUCUGUCUUCCUUCAGGAGGCCUGGACAUGAGGCCCUUCUCAGAGCUGGGAUUGCAGGUGUGUGCCACUAGAUUUUCUCUUCUGAGGUGCAAAGCAGUCCUUUGUUUACCAGCACGACAGUGCCACCUUUGGGCCAGCAGGGUGGACGUGUGCAGUCCUUUGAAAGCCUGCAGAUCAGGCUCCUGGCUUCCUCUCUUGCUGGGGGCGCUCUUCCCUCUCAGGGAGCUUCCUUCAGUCAGAGCAAG
rnacentral:lncRNA from 1 species